rnacentral:rRNA from 1 species
CAUAGGUUAAUGAGGCGAACCGGGGGAACUGAAACAUCUAAGUACCCCGAGGAAAAGAAAUCAACCGAGAUUCCCCCAGUAGCGGCGAGCGAACGGGGAGCAGCCCAGAGCCUGAAUCAGUAUGUGUGUUAGUGGAAGCGUCUGGAAAGGCGCGCGAUACAGGGUGACAGCCCCGUACACAAAAAUGCACAUGCUGUGAGCUCGAUGAGUAGGGCGGGACACGUGGUAUCCUGUCUGAAUAUGGGGGGACCAUCCUCCAAGGCUAAAUACUCCUGACUGACCGAUAGUGAACCAGUACCGUGAGGGAAAGGCGAAAAGAACCCCGGCGAGGGGAGUGAAAAAGAACCUGAAACCGUGUACGUACAAGCAGUGGGAGCACGCUUAGGCGUGUGACUGCGUACCUUUUGUAUAAUGGGUCAGCGACUUAUAUUCUGUAGCAAGGUUAACCGAAUAGGGGAGCCGAAGGGAAACCGAGUCUUAACUGGGCGUUAAGUUGCAGGGUAUAGACCCGAAACCCGGUGAUCUAGCCAUGGGCAGGUUGAAGGUUGGGUAACACUAACUGGAGGACCGAACCGACUAAUGUUGAAAAAUUAGCGGAUGACUUGUGGCUGGGGGUGAAAGGCCAAUCAAACCGGGAGAUAGCUGGUUCUCCCCGAAAGCUAUUUAGGUAGCGCCUCGUGAAUUCAUCUCCGGGGGUAGAGCACUGUUUCGGCAAGGGGGUCAUCCCGACUUACCAACCCGAUGCAAACUGCGAAUACCGGAGAAUGUUAUCACGGGAGACACACGGCGGGUGCUAACGUCCGUCGUGAAGAGGGAAACAACCCAGACCGCCAGCUAAGGUCCCAAAGUCAUGGUUAAGUGGGAAACGAUGUGGGAAGGCCCAGACAGCCAGGAUGUUGGCUUAGAAGCAGCCAUCAUUUAAAGAAAGCGUAAUAGCUCACUGGUCGAGUCGGCCUGCGCGGAAGAUGUAACGGGGCUAAACCAUGCACCGAAGCUGCGGCAGCGACGCUGAUGCGUUGUUGGGUAGGGGAGCGUUCUGUAAGCCUGCGAAGGUGUGCUGUGAGGCAUGCUGGAGGUAUCAGAAGUGCGAAUGCU